rnacentral:lncRNA from 1 species
AAUGAAAUGAAUUAGUCUAUUUUCUUCCCCAAAAGUUCUUCUCCAAACCCUUCUUCUUCUCUACUAUUUCUCCCCCCAAUUCUCCUCUAUCUCUAUCUCUAUCUCUAUCUCCAUCUCUACUCUCUACUUACCUCUAUCUUCCCCAACUCUCAGCCUACCUCCAUCCCAUUCGCUCUCUAUUCCCUUAACUCUUCUAUCCUCGGUUACCGGUUACGUUACCUCGGAUCCGCGACACACAGCCGGUACAUUACAAUUGGUAUCAGAGCAACACCGUCCCAGGGACCGUGGGCAGCUGGAUUCAAUAAAAUCAAGACCGUAGAAAGGCUCAACAGCAGUGGGAAAUCACCCCGAGUAGUGGGCGAGCACCAGGUAACAUCAUCCAACAAGCUCAAAUUAGCAGCAAGCAUUCACAUUGGGGUGUACCGAGGUAUUAGCAAGUUCCGGCGCUGAUUCUAUUGAAUUAGAAUAGCACCUAGCCUCAGUCAAGCAUCACGGGCGCCUCGGUAGAGUUAUUGUAGCACGUGGUAAUCCCAAAUCAUACAAGAGUAGAGUGGUUAGAUCCCAGGGAUCGGUGCAGUGAAUUCGUGCGCUGAUUUCGAUCUUUAGAUCGUGGAGUUUGCUUGGCGAUUGAUCUUCCGCGCUCUAAGAAUUGAUUCCGAUCGGUUCUAGACAAAGCGAGACACUGCGGAGACCAAAUUGGUCUCAGAUUCGUAGCUAAGGAGGAACCCAUAAUUCUCCGAGGCCACAGGAUCCCACCUGGAGUUGUAGCAGCUGCAACAGAUCCCGCAUUGAUUAGGCAGAGGCAACAGUGAGCUGCAGAAAUCAAGUAAGGGCUGCAAAGAGAGAAAAAAUAGCUAGGAAUUUCAUCAAACACCUGGUGAGCGAGAGUGCACCAAGGAGUAAGAAAGGGUUGAACAGUUGAGCAAUUAAUCGAACACCUUAUGAGCUACAGGUAAUCAAGUUUGCUCACCCAUUUUAAUUUCAGCGACGAGCUACAGUUGGUUAAUUUGCUACAAAUGAAAUUGUAUUGAGGGUAUGGACAACUGGUUACUAUUCCAUUGAUUGGAAUAGUCAUUAGGCCUCAAAUAGCAUCAUAGGCACCUCAAUAAUUUACUGUAGCUAGUAGAAGAAUCCAUUGGACAAUCACUUCAAGUAUCACUGUAAAACACUUCAAGGGGAAGCAUAUGUGAAGUAAAAAAAUGGCUAAUGGAACAAGGUUGCAGCAACAAACCACUAGCUAUAACCAAAGCUUUGAAGGAACGUUACGAAUUGCUAGGGAUUUCAAUCAAAAAUUAGAUGUCAUAAUUGAAGCACUACAAAAGGAACAGGCAAGGAGGCACGAAAUCAUGAUGUAGGAGAAUGCCCGCAGACAUGAACAACACCUAGAGUUGAUUAGGAGCCGAUUUGUGCAUGCUAGAGAAAAAGAGAUAGCAGUGUAGGUUCCAAAAGAAGAGAAAGGGCUAAUACCCAUACCCAUUCCUCUAGAGAAAAGAGUUAGUUCGCUAACUAAUUCCGUAUUCGACCAACCAGCUGUAGUGAAGGAAGUAGAGCAAAAGCACCUUGAAAUUCUACAGAUGGAGGACAGUAAUGGGUAUGAUGUAAAGCUGAGUGAUAGUGCCAGCAGACCUGAGGGAUUGCUGAGGUUGCAUUGUAACUCAACCAUCUCCUACCAAGCCAAUUCCAAUUGUCGAAACACGCAACAUAGAGCAUUCAAGCUCAGAUAGAAGCAAACUUAGAGAUAACAUCAUUCCAUUUCCUAUCAGAGCAAACAAAGGUGAAGAACCUCCGCUAGGAACUCAUCAGCUGCAAGAAAGUGAAGAAGAUCCAAUACCACAAGGGCCUGCUACAAGUAAGCGAACAACGAUGCAAGGACGAUGCUAUGGGUACGGAGAGGAGUAUAUUACGGGAAAGCAAUGUAAGAAUAGCUCCCUACAAAUGUUACCAGCACAAAAAAAAAGGGACAUGGAUGCUGAAUCUGAAACAGUAAAAGAAGAAGGAUGUGAGCUACAACAAGUAGAAGAAGGAAAUGUCUAUGAGGCUACAAGCAUCAAGGAGUCAAAUAACCAAACCCAACUAAUUUUGAAUGAUGAUAGAAACUUACAUAGCCUCAUUGACUUCGGGAUUGCAAAAGCUACCAGAGUUGAGUUUACUACUGUUGCAUCCUUGAUAAUGAUAGCAAACCCUGAGCACAAGGUGCCAAGCAAAAAUUCUUGCCUUCAGUUUGCAAGGAAGAAGCCAGGUCAUAAAUUCUUUUCUAAUUCAAGAAAAUGGAGGCUCAAAAGUUCUGACAUAGUGCUUAGAAUUGAUUGGAUGAAGAAAUAUAGGCAAGUGCCUUUUGAUUCAGGACCUAACAAGGUGACCACUCAUAGCAUUGAAGGAGUUGAUCUAGUGCUCAGUCCUGGCUACUUGAAGACCUAUAAGCUAAUGCGACUUGGUCCUAAACAAGGCAAGGUAACAAUCUAUAGCAUGGAAGAAAGAGUUUCGCAAAGGCCUGUCACCCCAAUCAAGCUACACCAAUUCAGUAAUCAACAAGAGGUGGAAAUUGCAACAAUGCUAAGGUAGCAAGAGAGAUCACAAGACUUAAAGAUCCAAAGGCUACUUCGAAACUCUAACCUGGAAGAAGCUUACAUUGCGUACAACUUGGUACAUGGUUAUAAGGAGUUAGGGUCUGUGCUGGGAAUGGUUCACCCCUGUUCGCGAUUUUUGGCUUAUGAACAAGCCAAGCUGAAGGAAUCUAUUGUAGAAUGGGCUGUUGCACUUGACACUUCAGGAAUAUGGCAAAUUUAUCGUAGAAUUGAACUGUUCUUUCGCUACGUAGGAAUAAUCAAGAAUUUGCAACAGUUAGUGCAAGAAUAUGUCAAUUGCUUGAUAAUUGAAGAGGAAAAUAAGCCCAAACAGAGCUAUGAAUGGUGGUCCAUUGCAGAAGGAUGGUUUGGCGACAAUUUCCGCACUUCCACACAAGUGCAAUUCUUUUGAGCUGAAAUUGGUUAUUUUCCACCAGCCUAUGUAUCAAUUAGGGGUGGCAAUACAGCUCGCUAUUUGCGAGCCAGCUCGUGUUCGGCUCGAAAUGAGCUCGAGAUCGGCUCGCUCGUUUAGUAAACGAGCUGAACACGAGCUCAAUUUUUUAGCUCGUUUAAUAAAUAAGCCGAACACGAGCUAAGGUCAGCUCGCUCAUGUUCGGCUCGAUAACAGCUCGAUUAUAUUUAUUUUAUAUUAAUAUAAUUUAUAUAUAUAUAUAUUAUAUUCAUAUACAUAAAUAUAUAAAUAUAUUUGCUUAUAAGUAUAUAAUAUAUAUUAUUAUUUUGUAGUUUGUAGCUCAGAUUAUUAUUUUUUAAUUUGUAGCCCAAUUUAACAAUAAAACCCAAGUUAUCUAUAAAGAGGCCCAUUUAUAUUUAUAAUUUCAACCGUUAAAUUAAAAUCUAAUGGAUAAUAUUACAUCAACUUUUAACUCACUAUAUUUUUAACCUUAUUUCUUUUUUCCUAACUUUUUCACCCUUCGCACACCCAGCCGCCUCCCCUUCACCCAACUUUUUCUCUCUCUCUCUCACAGCUCCACUUCACUUCACACAUGUCGCACUCUCUCUCUCUUACAGCCCCACUUCACCCCUCUCUCUCUCUCUCUCUCACACAGCUCCACUUCACUUCACACAUGUCGCACUCUCUCUCUCUUACAGCCCCACUUCACCCCUCUCUCUCUCUCUCUCUCACAGCCCCACUUCACUUCACACAUGUCGCACACCCCCGGCGGGCGGCUCGCCGGCAGCGUACUUUCGCCGUUCGCACACCCCCAGAUGGCGGCACGCCGGCAGCGCACUCUUCGUCGUUCGCACAUCCUCGGUAGCGGAUUCUUUGCCGUUCACAAACCCUCGGCAGCGAACUUCGGCAGCGGCAGCAAACUUCGACAGCGCUGGCGGCAGCGAACUUCGACAGCGGCGCUAAUGAGCCGAACACGAGCCAGCUCAAUUAAGUUGCGAGCCAAUCAUGAGCCGGAGUUUUUCAGCUCGUCACGAGCUCGAGCCGAACACGAGCUGACCUUGAAGACGUUCGAGCCGAGCUCGAGCUGGCUCUAGCUCGCUCGAGCUCGACUUGUUUGCAGCCCUAGUAUCAAUCCUUUCGGAGAAUACUCUAGUGGAGUUGAUUUCAAGUUGGAGCAAGCAAAGUGAGCAGGUCAGACACAAUGAUAUAGAGCAACUAAAUACAAAACAACAGGUAAUGAAGCAUUAUGCUUAUAAAAGAAGAAGUAAAGGAGUUUUUGAGGUGAAAGAGCAAUUAUGCUUGAAGUUGUUACUCUGUGAGCUACCUAUCAAGCCUCUAGAAGGGUAUCUAAGGCUCAUAAUUAACCAAUUUGGACUUACUAUAUCUCGGAGCUAACAAGAUCUACGGCAUGCAGGUUGCGACUUACUGAUGGUCCCAGGGGUGAUCCCCGCCCCAACACGUGCCUCCAUCCAUGCAGCCAGCAAGAGGAGAUGGGCGAGUGUCGACAUAAUUGGAAAAACAACUCAGAGCGGCGCCAGGAGGCAAGAAAACAGCAAGGGUUCAAAUAUGGCUUGAAGGAAGCAAUUUUGAAGAAGAAGAAUGUGUUGCUGAGAAAGCAAUUGGGUACUCCCAAACCGAGUUCAAGGGCUCUAUGAGUUCCAUCCUUAAGGACAAGGAUGAUUUUAAGGGGAGGGGAUUGUAACAAUCCUGAAGAAUAAAUGGUACAGGUAGUAGUAGUAGGAGUUAGCAGGGGAGAGUAGUAAAAAUGUCAACUUUACUCAGUUAGGAGAGGAAUAAGGGCGACAGCAGGGUGGAGAGGAGCGAACUCGGCGGAGCGAUCCGGCGGGAAGGUGCUCGGAUGGUCAGAUACUCGGAUCGAGUAAGAAGGGCGGACCCAAUAACCGACAGGCGGUGGAUACUGCGGAGAAAGGCGGACCCGAGUCCGUUUACCCAUUUGCCAGACAGUUUGGACCGGUCAAGCCCACUCGUGGCCCAUCAACUAGCUAAAAAUCAGCCCAACAGGCCUCACUCCCAUUUUUUGCCUAUUUUGCAGUUUAGCCCUCAUAGGAUAGUUUACUUUAAUUUCAGUACUAAGUAGUAGCGAGCAUAUAUGCAAGAAUGUAAUUGCAACAGCACAAUGAAUGAAAUGAAUUAGUCUAUUUUCUUCCCUAAAAGUUCUUCUCCAAACCCUUCUUCUUCUCUACUAUUUCUCCCCCCAAUUCUCCUCUAUCUCUAUCUCUAUCUCUAUCUCCAUCUCUACUCUCUACUUACCUCUAUCUUCCCCAACUCUCAGCCUACCUCCAUCCCAUUCUCUCUCUAUUCCCUUACCUCUUCUAUCCUCGGUUACCGAUUACGUUACCUCGGAUCCGCGACACACAGUCGGUACAUUACAAAAAGACUAACUGGAAAAUAGCAAGGAUAGAAAACAAGUUCCGCUAAAUUUCU